GACGAACGCUGGCGGCGCGCCUAACACAUGCAAGUCGAGCGAGAACCGGGACUUCGGUCCCGGGGGCAGCGGCGAACGGGUGCGUAACACGUGAGUAACCUGCCCCGAAGACCGGGACAAGCCGGGGAAACCUGGUCUAAUACCGGAUGUCCUCACCGGAUCGCAUGGUCUGGUGAGGAAAUGGAUUCCGCUUCGGGAUGGACUCGCGGUCUAUCAGCUUGUUGGUGAGGUAACGGCCCACCAAGGCGACGACGGAUAGCUGGUCUGAGAGGACGAUCAGCCACACUGGGACUGAGACACGGCCCAGACUCCUACGGGAGGCAGCAGUGGGGAAUCUUGCGCAAUGGGGGAAACCCUGACGCAGCGACGCCGCGUGCGGGAUG
rnacentral:rRNA from 1 species